rnacentral:rRNA from 1 species
UACGUAGGGUGCGAGCGUUGUCCGGAAUUAUUGGGCGUAAAGAGCUUGUAGGCGGUUUGUCGCGUCUGCUGUGAAAAUCCGGGGCUCAACCCCGGACUUGCAGUGGGUACGGGCAGACUAGAGUGUGGUAGGGGAGACUGGAAUUCCUGGUGUAGCGGUAAAAUGCGCAGAUAUCAGGAGGAACACCGAUGGCGAAGGCAGGUCUCUGGGCCACUACUGACGCUGAGAAGCGAAAGCAUGGGGAGCGAACAGG